ACAGUAUCCAACAUCGCACUCUGCCGAUAUGGUGUUUUUUUUUUUCUCCUCUACAGUAAAACACACACGUUGUACUAAAAAGUAUCCCCAAAUCAAACCCUAUUCGAAUUUCACGGAAGAGAAUCUCUCCCUCCAACUUCGCCUCGCCCCUCCCGCUAGGUUCUUGCCGCUCGUCUACCAUGCAUCUGCCGUCUUCCGUACCAAAAACCCACCACCCUUGAAGAGGUCGGUCUCAGGCUAUCUGCUUUCUGCUAUCUCUGUGAGCUAUUUGCCAUAUCUGGUUUAUAUCGAAUGACAGCAGGAAAUUGAUGAAAAUACCUCAAAUGUUCAUACGCUUUGGGGUAUUCGAGGUCCCCAAUUCCUCCAUGAAAACUACACAGAAAACAGGUAAAAAGCUCCAAGAACGAAUCCUCCUCAUUCCGGCGUGAUACUUAACAAACUCCUCCCAGGAAAUUACAAGCAAGUCCCUGGUUACCAGGUUCCAGAUAUAGUGCCCAAAGCCCACCGUUUUGUCUAACGGUUUAUUACAAUUAAACCCUCCCCAUACUAUAAGCUACGUCGUUUCCCUUAAUAACUAAGUGAUGUCGUAUUGGCUCCUAAAGCCUGCUGGAGCUGCGUCGUUUUGGUGCAUCUGCUGAAGACACACUUAAGCCGAAGCCUCUUCACUUCACGAACUGACUCUGCUGUCUCAUUUCUCCCGAAACCUAACUCUUCCAUCUUCAUCUUCUAGGUCUCUUCUUUGCAGCAUCAUAACAGGCAACCUGUCUGAUGAUAGUUGGGAAUUGUGAAAUUUGGGAAUUUUUUUGUUUGUUUAUGCUUUUAAGAUAAGGAUUAUUUAAGUUUCAAUAGUUUAUUUGAAUUUCUUUUUAGUAAGUAAAAUCUACCAAUUUGAACGAGUUUAUGCCAAUUUUUGUGAAUUAAAUUACUUGUAGUCAUCAGCCUCCUCUGAGCAUAUAAAUAUUUCGGGCCGCCUUCUAUUAAA